AUGUCAGGUGCGCUUGCUUGGCAGGUCAACAAAAUAAUAAAACAAGAUUUGUUGGUUUUGGGGAGAGAUCGCACGGGAAUUUUGCCCGGGUUCUCUUCCUCGUGUGGUGUUUGCCUUGCUCCUUUUUUCUCACGCUUCUUUAUUUUAUUAUGUAACUCGCUUGCACUACUCUCCCUCGCACAACGCGUAAUCAUCUAUGAAAUUCUCCGACUCCAUUUCAAGUGA